UACGUAGGGUGCGAGCGUUGUCCGGAAUUACUGGGCGUAAAGAGCUCGUAGGUGGUUUGUCACGUCGUCUGUGAAAUUCUGGGGCUUAACCUCGGGCGUGCAGGCGAUACGGGCAAUACUUGAGUGCUGUAGGGGAGACUGGAAUUCCUGGUGUAGCGGUGGAAUGCGCAGAUAUCAGGAGGAACACCGAUGGCGAAGGCAGGUCUCUGGGCAGUAACUGACGCUCAUGCGCGAAAGCUGGGGUAGCGAACCGGAUUAGAUA
rnacentral:rRNA from 1 species